rnacentral:tRNA from 1 species
CUGAUUUAGGAUCAGCAUAUAAUAUAGAAUAUUAGUCGUUA